UGCAGUCGAGCGGAACGAGUUAUCUGAACCUUCGGGGAACGAUAACGGCGUCGAGCGGCGGACGGGUGAGUAAUGCCUGGGAAAUUGCCCUGAUGUGGGGGAUAACCAUUGGAAACGAUGGCUAAUACCGCAUAAUAGCUUCGGCUCAAAGAGGGGGACCUUCGGGCCUCUCGCGUCAGGAUAUGCCCAGGUGGGAUUAGCUAGUUGGUGAGGUAAGGGCUCACCAAGGCGACGAUCCCUAGCUGGUCUGAGAGGAUGAUCAGCCACACUGGAACUGAGACACGGUCCAGACUCCUACGGGAGGCAGCAGUGGGGAAUAUUGCACAAUGGGCGCAAGCCUGAUGCAGCCAUGCCGCGUGUAUGAAGAAGGCCUUCGGGUUGUAAAGUACUUUCAGCAGUGAGGAAGGUGGUGUGCUUAAUACGCACAUCAUUUGACGUUAGCUGCAGAAGAAGCACCGGCUAACUCCGUGCCAGCAGCCGCGGUAAUACGGAGGGUGCGAGCGUUAAUCGGAAUUACUGGGCGUAAAGCGCAUGCAGGUGGUUUGUUAAGUCAGAUGUGAAAGCCCGGGGCUCAACCUCGGAAUUGCAUUUGAAACUGGCAGACUAGAGUACUGUAGAGGGGGGUAGAAUUUCAGUGUAGCGGUGAAAUGCGUAGAGAUCUGAAAGGAAUACCGGUGGCGAAAGGCGGCCCCCUGGACAGAUACUGACACUCAGAUGCGAAAGCGUGGG
rnacentral:rRNA from 1 species